UGGACGUCACCUGAAAGAAUAUGAUUUCAUCUUAUCUCGUGAUCCAUUUUCUUCAUCUUCUCUUGCCCCUGUAUUUGAGAAACAAGGGCAACCUUCCACGCAGCAACAGGGGCAACAUUUCAUGGAGCAACAAGGGACUGGCUCCAGUGUACAAGAAACUCCAGCUUCUACUACAUUGAUUGAUUCUCGAGAGCCAAGUAGCAAUGGUGAUCAAAGCCUCAACGGCCCACCCUCAGAAGAAAAUAAUUAAGGAAAUUUAUCCUGACUGGAUGGAGGCAUCUAGUGCGUCAGGAUUAACUUGAAACCAGAAGUUGAUAAGGCUGCCAGAGAUAAGCUUGCCUCAUUUUGUUCCUUCAGCAGAAUAGAAUGGUUCUUGUAUCUUAAAGCAGACAAAUCUACGAAGUGACAGAACUUCAUUUAGUUGAAUCUCAUCGAGUUAAAUUGAGUGCUUUCUAUUCCGGCUGGCCUCAACUAUAAUUUACUUGUUCGAUUUGCUUUCAAAGUUAUAACCAUAUUUGAAUGAUGUUCUGGUGAUGGAUGCUAUGUCAAAGUCUGAUCCCCAGAACUCAAGAA